UACGGAGGAUGCAAGCGUUAUCCGGAUUCAUUGGGUUUAAAGGGUGCGCAGGCGGAAUGAUAAGUCAGUGGUGAAAUCUCCCGGCUCAACCGGGAAACUGCCAUUGAUACUGUCAUUCUUGAGUACAGUUGAAGUGGGCGGAAUGUGUCAUGUAGCGGUGAAAUGCUUAGAUAUGACACAGAACACCGAUAGCGAAGGCAGCUCACUAAGCUGUAACUGACGCUCAUGCACGAAAGCGUGGGGAUCAAACAGGAUUAGAAACCCCAGUAGUCC
rnacentral:rRNA from 1 species